rnacentral:misc_RNA from 1 species
GAUGAAGAACGCAGCGAAAUGCGAUAAGUAGUGUGAAUUGCAGAAUUCAGUGAAUCAUCGAAUCUUUGAACGCACAUUGCGCCCUGUGGUAUUCCGCAGGGCAUGCCUGUUCGAGCGUCAUUUCAACCCUCAAGCCCCGCUUGGUGUUGGGCCCCGCCCGCUGUGGCCGGCCCUAAAGACAGUGGCGGCGCCGCCUGGCCCUCAGCGUAGUACAUCUCUCGCUCCAGGGUCCGGUGGCCGCCUGCCAGAACCCCCCAACUCUGUGGUUGACCUCGGAUCAGGUAGGGAUACCCGCUGAACUUAAGCAUAUCAAUAAGCGGAGGA